ensembl:lincRNA
GUAGCAUUUCCAUGUUGAAGGGUGCACCCUGCAGAAAAAUUAUGUGACUAUAUAGAUACAGGCACAUUCAAGGAGGUACAUGUUCGCUGCGGCGUUGUUCACCGUGGUGAAAAGUGGGGAUAACUCUCUUGAGUGGCGUGGACAGGUGCAUUCAUGCUUUCCACGUGCUGUCUGCUCCCGUCGCAGUGCUGCUCCCGUCUCCUUACCCUAAGCAAAGGUGCAGACCAACGACAGAAAUGCCACCCACCCCGAAAGGAGGGAAGGCUCCGGGGCCAGCAGCUCCGUGUGACGGUGCCUCGUGACACAGCUGUUCGCUGUGGUUGAGCAACGGAGUCGGCCUAGGCCCCGGCGGCAGACAAACAGUUGAAGAAAAUGUGGUAUGCCCCACAGUGGAGUAUUACUCUGCCGUAAAGAAGAAAACCGUGUCAUUCGCAGCAAAGUGGAUGGAACUGGGAGGCACUGUGUGCAGCGAAGCAAGCCAGACGCAGAAACACCAGCAGCGCAGCUCUGAGAGUGGUGAUUUCUGGAGGUGGGGGAGGGUGCGGGGGCACAGACAAGGGCUGCAUGAGUCCAAGAGGACCAACCCGUGGGAGCGCCACCCUGGGGUCCACCGCUGAGCACAGCUGACGUGUCAGUAAAGGCGAUGAUUUCAAACGAGGGGGAAGUACCCGGAGGCCGUGGAGCUGGGUGUGUGCUCAGCAGAGGCACAUGCGCCCCACGGACAGAAGGCCCUGGGUUCUGCUCCCGGCGCCACGACAAAACAGAGGCUAAAAAAGGAGCACUUGACUCUCCUGAGCUGUUUCUGAGGAAAGACACCGACCCAGCCUUCCGGGCUUCCGCCUCCCGCUCGAUUCCUAUGACUCCUGCUGCUGCCUCUCACGCUCCUGUCUUCUCCCAGGAACCAAACAUAAUCUGCAUCUCAGGCCUUUUUCUGGCCUCCCUGUGGUGUGGGAGGACUCCUCCGGGGAUGGCUCUGGCUCUGAUCGGCUCCGGCUGUGAUGGCGAAGCCAGGUCUCAGGUCCACAUCCUGUCCCCACCUCCCUCUCCUUCUACAGGUCAGCAGGUCCCCCACCCCCUGGACCUCCUCUCCCCAGGCCUCAGCAAGACCCCCAGGAAGCCCUCUGGGUCUGCAGCCUCCACUUACCUGGCUCUGGCUUUGCAAGAAGGGGGCCUUUGCACAGAAGCGGACAGCUGGGCACCAGUCUGGGGGCCACCUCUGGUGGCCGCAUCACAGGACAAGGGGACCACAGGAAAGAGGGAAGCGAGACCCACACCCUUCCGCUCAGGAGACCCAGGCCCAGCUCCUGGCUCAAAGACGAGAGUUUUUAAAACUGUGUGCAGAGAAGGGCUGCAGAUGGGACUGAAAACCAACCCAAACGGACCUGAAGACUGUGCAAGGAGAGAGCUUCCAUCUCGCGUCCUACAGGGGAGCCGACCCUCGGCUUUGGGGUCCAUGGGGAGGAAGUGGGGCGUAGCGGGGCAGUGUUCAAGGACAAAUCCGGCUUCAGGCAGGGUCACCGGGGACAGACAGCAGAUAGUGGCACGGAGAGUCCAGAGGAGCGACCGGGUUCCAAGGGAUCACCAACGAGCGUUCUCUCCUCACGGGACUCAGUCUGCGUAG